rnacentral:rRNA from 1 species
ACCCGUUGAUCCUGCGGGAGGUUGCUGCUAGGGGGAUUCGAUUUAGCCAUGCAAGUCUGAUCGCAAGAUCGGCGAAAUGCUCAGUAACACGUCGUUAACGUGUCCUUCGGUUAAGGAUAAGCACGGGAAACUGUGUGUAAUACUUAAUAGGGGAGUCAACCUGGAAAUGGUGACUCCUUUGAAACUCGUGCCGGAGGGUCGGACGGCGGCAGAUUAGGUUGUUGGCGGUGUAAUGGACCACCAAGCCGAAGAUCUGUACGGGCCUUGAGAGAGGUAGCCCGGAGAGGGACACUGAGAUACUGGUCCCAGCCCUACGGGGUGCAGCAGGUACGAAACCUUUACAAUGCACGCAAGUGUGAUAAGGGGAUCCCCCGUGCUCAAGCAUUGCUUGGGCUUUUGCCUAGUGUAAAUAGCUUAGCGAAUAAGUGGUGGGUAAGACUGGUGCCAGCCGCCGCGGUAACACCAGCGCCACGAGUGGUAACCACGUUUAUUGGGCCUAAAGCGUCCGUAGCCGGUUUAGUAAAUCUUUUGUGAAAUUGUGCGGCUCAACCGUACAACGUGCAAGAGACACUGCUAAACUUGAGACCGGGAGGAGUCAGAAGUAUUCCAGGGGGAGCGGUAAAAUGUUAUAAUCCCUGGAGGACUACCUGUGGCGAAGGCGUCUGACCAGAACGGAUCUGACGGUGAGGGACGAAAGCCAGGGGAGCGAACCGGAUUAGAUACCCGAGUAGUCCUGGCCGUAAGCGCUGUGAGCUAGGUGUUGCGUUAGCCACGAGCUAGCGCAGUGUCGAAAAGAAGUUGUUAAGCUCACCGCCUGGGAAGUACGGUCGCAAGACUGAAACUUUAAGGAAUUGGCGGGGGAGCACCACAAGGGGUGCGGCGUGCGGUUUAAUCUAACUCAACGCAGAGAACCUUACUAGGGGCGACAGUAGGAUGAAGGUCAGCUUGAAGAGCUUACCUGACAGACUAAGAGGUGGUGCAUGGCCGCCGUCAGCUCGUGCUGUGAAGUGUCCAGCUAAGCCUGGCAACGAGCGAGACCUGUAUCUGCAAUUGCUAGCGGGUGUUUACACGACCGAGCACUUUGCAGAGACUGCCCUGGAAACAGGGAGGAAGGUGCAGGCUACGGUAGGUCUGUAUGCCCCGAAUCCCCUAGGCUACACGCGCGCAACAAUGGUUGGGACAAUGGGAUGCCACUCCGAAAGGAGAAGCUAAACCUCUAAACCCAAUCCAAGUCCAGAUUGAGGCUUGCAACUCAGCCUCAUGACGACGGAAUCCCUAGUAAUCAGAAGUCAUCAUCUUCUGGUGAAUAUGUCCCUGCUCCUUGCACACACCGCCCGUCAAAUCAACCGAGCAGGGUCUGGGUAAAACGUAGUUUCUUGAUUACGUUGAAUCUAGGCUCAGUGAGGUGGGUUAAGUCGUCACAAGGUA